rnacentral:tRNA from 1 species
UGCCCGAUGGUGUAAUUGGCAACACGACGGAUUCUGGCUCCGUUAUUCUAGGUUCGAGUCCUAGUCGGGCAG